AAGGGAGACCUAAUUCAGGUAGGAGACGAAAAAAAAGUAGUCCCAACCAAGAAUCAAUCCCAAAAGGUCGGAGCGAGGCGAAAUUGGCUUUCAAACUAGGUUCUGGGUUCACACAAGACCUGAAUCAGGAACAAGGGCUAUUAGCUCAGGUGAUUAGAGCGCACCCCUGAUAAGGGUGAGGUCCCUGGUUCGAGUCCAGGAUGGCCCACCUGCACAGGUGGCAAAAACAAGAGAAGCGAGGAAUCAGCACCUUAUCUUAUCUAUAUAUAUAUAGGAGAGAAUGCUGGCUCUGAGUAAAGAGUCCAGAGGAACCUUGAAAACUGCAUAGAGCUAGGUGAAAAAGCCAAAAAAGAAGACCGCAA
rnacentral:tRNA from 1 species